GUUUGAUCCUGGCUCAGAUUGAACGCUGGCGGCAUGCCUUACACAUGCAAGUCGAACGGCAGCACGGGAGCAAUCCUGGUGGCGAGUGGCGAACGGGUGAGUAAUAUAUCGGAACGUGCCCAGUAGUGGGGGAUAACUGCUCGAAAGAGCAGCUAAUACCGCAUACGACCUGAGGGUGAAAGGGGGGAUCGCAAGACCUCUCGCUAUUGGAGCGGCCGAUAUCAGAUUAGCUAGUUGGUGGGGUAAAGGCCUACCAAGGCAACGAUCUGUAGUUGGUCUGAGAGGACGACCAGCCACACUGGGACUGAGACACGGCCCAGACUCCUACGGGAGGCAGCAGUGGGGAAUUUUGGACAAUGGGCGCAAGCCUGAUCCAGCAAUGCCGCGUGCAGGAAGAAGGCCUUCGGUUGUAAACUGCUUUGUCUAGGAAGAAAUACCUCUAGGUUAAUACCUUGGGGAAGUGACGGUACCUAGAAGAAUAAGCACCGGCUAACUACGUGCCAGCAG
rnacentral:rRNA from 1 species